rnacentral:tRNA from 1 species
GGCCCGGUGGCUCAGCUGGUUAGAGCGCCGCCCUGUCACGGCGGAGGUCUUCGGUUCGAGUCCGAUCUGGGUCG